rfam:Coriobacteriaceae bacterium KH1P3 genome assembly, contig: Ga0059117_113
AGAGAAGAUGGUAAGGGCACACGGUGGAUGCCUUGGCACAGGAAGCCGACGAAGGACGUGACAAGCUGCGAUAAGCCACGGUUAGGAGCACAUAUCCGCUUGACCCGUGGAUUUCCGAAUGGGCGAACCCGGCGGGAGUCAUUUCCCGUCGCCCCGCGCUGAACACAUAGGCGCGGCGGAGGUAACCCGGGGAACUGAAACAUCUAAGUACCCGGAGGAAGAGAAAUCAAACGAGAUUCCCCUAGUAGUGGCGAGCGAACGGGGACAUAGGCCAAACCGUCGGCCGCUUCGGCGCCGGCGGGGUUGUAGGGCCACUCAUCGCGCAGUUACAAAACCUCGUGGAAGCGGAACGGCCUGGGAAGGCCGGCGAGACAGGGUUAGAGCCCCGUACGCGAAUCCGCGAGGACUGCCGAGUGGUUCCUGAGUACUGCCGGACACGUGAAACCCGGUGGGAACCUGGGGGGACCACCCUCCAAGCCUAAAUACUCUCCUGUGACCGAUAGUGGACAAGUACCGUGAGGGAAAGGUGAAAAGCACCCCGGGAGGGGAGUGAAAUAGUACCUGAAACCGUGUGCCUACAAGCAGUCGGAGCAGUGCUUGCACUGUGACGGCGUGCCUUUUGUAGAAUGAGCCAGCGAGUUACGGCGUGUGGCGAGGUUAAGCUAGCAAGCGAGCCGCAGCGAGAGCGAGUCUGAACAGGGCGUUCAGUCGCACACCGUAGACGCGAAGCCGGGUGAGCUAUCCAUGGGCAGGCUGAAGCGGGGGUAAGACCCCGUGGAGGGCCGAACCCACUUAGGUUGAAAACUGAGGGGAUGACCUGUGGAUAGGAGUGAAAGGCCUAUCAAACCCGGAGAUAUCUCGUUCUCCCCGAAAUAGCUUUAGGGCUAGCCUCGGACGUUUACCUGCGGAGGUAGAGCACUGAAUGGUUGCGGGGGCCUCACCGCCUACCAAGACCAAUCAAACUCCGAAUGCCGUAGGUCCAGAGUCCGGGAGUCAGAACAUGUGGGCUAAGCUGUGUGUUCGAAAGGGAAACAGCCCAGACCGCCCGCUAAGGUCCCCAAAUCCAUGCUAAGUGGCAAAGGAUGUGCGUUUGCUCAGACAACCAGGAUGUUGGCUUAGAAGCAGCCAUUCAUUUAAAGAGUGCGUAAUAGCUCACUGGUCGAGUGGACAUGCGCCGACAAUAUACGGGGCUAAGCAUGGUACCGAAGCGGCGGACUGCAUUUCGCAGUGGUAGGGGAGCUUUCCGUCUGGGGCGAAGCCGCGGGACGACCCGCGGUGGACCGGCCGGAAGUGAGAAUGCUGGCAUGAGUAACGAGAGGGGCGUGAAAA